AAUGAACGUUGGUGGCGUGGAUUAGGCAUGCAAGUCGUGCGAGAACCCUCCUUCGGGAGGGGGACAGCGGCGAACGGGGUAGUAAGGCGUCGGAACGUACCCACGGGUCCGGGAUAGCGGCGGGAAACUGCCGGUAAUACCGGAUGACCUCUUUGGAGCAAAGGUGUGAUUCCGCCUGUGGAGCGGCCGACGUGAUACCAGCUAGUUGGUGAGGUAACGGCUCACCAAGGCUCAGACGUCUGGGGGGUGUGAGAGCAUGGCCCCCACCACUGGGACUGAGACACUGCCCAGACACCUACGGGUGGCUGCAGUCGAGAAUCUUCGGCAAUGGGCGCAAGCCUGACCGAGCGACGCCACGUGCGGGAUGACGGCCCUCGGGUUGUAAACCGCUGUCGAGGGGGAUGAAGUCACGGGAGGUACUCCUCUCGUGUUGACAGAGCCCUGGAGGAAGCGCGGGCUAAGUACGUGCCAGCCGCCGCGGUAAAAC
rnacentral:rRNA from 1 species